UCUAACAAAGGCAAGAGGCCAUGUCAUG
rnacentral:piRNA from 1 species